rnacentral:lncRNA from 1 species
UGUUUUUUUUGUUCCAUCUAACGGUUGAGAUAGAUGAGCGUAUAGUAAGUUAGCAUGCACCUUGUUACACAGAAUUAUACCACUUGUUAAGUUUCAUGUUUUACCUUUUACGGCGAAUCUAUUAAAAACGUGUGCUUGAAAGCUGAAAUCUUCACGGGAAAUCUAGAGACGGCGAAGGGAAAAGAAAAGAAAAGGAUGACACUUUCGUCAGAUCCAUCAUCAUCAUCUUCAUCCAUGUAUCACACGAAUCCACUCUCCGUCGUGUAAUUCCAAUACCUGAAACCCUCUCUUUCAUAAAAAAAAAAAAAAAAAAAAAAAAAAGAGUAGUUUUUUUAGGUUAGGUGAAAAUAACAAUGGAAUCAGAGCUCAAAGAUAUGAUUUCGAAUCCACCUUCGAGCAAAGAGGAACGGCCCUUACUGAAAUCAGAAUCCGAUUUGGCUGCUGCCAUUGAAGAGCUAGACAAAAAGUUUGCACCUUACGCGAGGACGGAUUUGUAUGGGACGAUGGGUUUGGGUCCUUUCCCGAUGUCGGAGAAGAUU